UACGGGGGUGGCGAGCGUUGUCCGGAAUCACUGGGCGUAAAGGGCGCGUAGGUGGUUUGAUAAGGGUGUGGUGAAAGUCCGGGGCUCAACCCCGGAUCUGCCGUGCCGACUGUCAAACUCGAGGACUGUAGAGGCAGACGGAAUUCCGGGUGUAGCGGUGGAAUGCGUAGAGAUCCGGAGGAAGACCGGUGGCGAAGGCGGUCUGCUGGGCAGUUUCUGACACUGAGGCGCGACAGCGUGGGGAGCAACAGG
rnacentral:rRNA from 1 species